rfam:Canis lupus familiaris chromosome 3, whole genome shotgun sequence.
AGGAGGAACAACCGCAGUGGCGGGGCCAGCUCUUAGCUCUGGAUUCAGCCCCCGCAGUAACUCCAGAGCUCUCGGUCUGCAGGGCCUGGAUGCUCCAGGGCGGG